AUCUCAUCUGGCAAAAUAUGAUGCUUAUUAAUAUGUCGCUGUUACGUUGCUUUAAUAUAAAUUUAUGAUGAAAUUUUAAAGAACUCUUGUACGCUUCUUCAUGAGCUAUAAAAAAGUCUGAAAAUAUGGCAGAAAAAAGAGACUUAAUUUUUGAAGAUAUUAAUGAGUUGAUAGCAAACUCAGAUCGACUAAAACUUAGAAGAAAUGCUAUAGCUGAAGAAAACGAAGAAGUCGCUAAAGACGUAAUUGCAACAACAUUAAAUCAGCUCACAAUCUACGAUAGUACUGAAAAACCUCUCGUACCUGUGUCUACGGGUUCAUAAUUUCAUAAUGGAGUUUUUUUAUUUAUAUCAAGUCAAACUUUUGCUUGUAUUGUAAAGAAAAAUUGAAGAAUUUUUUUUUGCUAUAAAAAUGAAGGAAAAAAGAAAAAAAAGAAAAUGAAGAUUAAAUACAUUAUAAACUUCAAAAGAGCAAAAGAAAAAGAAAUAGAAAAAGAAGGUUCGUCGACUAUUUCUUUAUAUGAAAAAGACAUGUUUUUUAUAAAGUGUUUUUUGUAAAUAUCAUAUUUUUCCUGAAUUUAUAUUAAAUUUACUCAA